rnacentral:rRNA from 1 species
GAUGAACGCUGGCGGCGUGCCUAAUACAUGCAAGUCGAGCGAAGCGGGGACGGGUGAGUGACACGUGGAUAACCUGCUAUAAGGAUGGGGUAACUUCGGGGAACAGGAGAUAAACCGGAAUCUUAUAGAUGGAUCGGCGCUGCAUUAGCUAGUUGGUAAGGUAAAGGCUUACCAAGGCCACGAUGCAUAGCCGAGCUGAGAGGGUGAUCGGCCACACUGGAACUGAGACACGGUCCAUACUCCUACGGGAGGCAGCAGUAGGGAAUCUUCCGCAAUGGGCGCAAGCCUGACGGAGCCACGCCGCGUGAGUGAAGAAGGUCUUCGGAUCGUAAAACUCUGUUAUUAGGGAAGCGUUACCCACUCAGAAAGCCACGGCUAACUCCGUGCCAGCAGCCGCGGUAAUAC